rnacentral:lncRNA from 1 species
CAGAUGACUUCCUCGAUGUCACUCAUGAGCUAAACAUAGAUACACAUGAGAGACUUAUUAGAUAAUUAAGCUACGAUUAAAGCUUUUAUAGCUAUAUAGUGAACUUAAUAUAAUACUUUUAAGAGAAUGCAUCUGCUAAGGGUGUGAAUCUUUUGAUUAUUGAACUCUUUCAUCUUUAUGAUACAGUAGGGACAAACAAAAUAAUCAACUUUGAUGAAGAAUAUAGACACUAUACUUGGUCACAACUCACAAAAUCAAUUUGAAUUAAACAACAAACUUAAAAGCAAAAACUAAAGAUACGUUCAAGAUGUUUUACCUGGAUCCAUGCUCCAUAAUAACUUCGGUCAUCUAAAAAUAAUUAAAAAGUAGCUCAAAACCAUUAGGUCAUGAAACAUUUCGUCAGAGCAACAAUAUGAAACUCAUUUACAUACAAACCAUUAGAAUCAAACAAAUUCCAUUUGCUAACUCAGUAGCAAAAAAGACCUCAGAGCCAGACAAAAGGUCAAAUUAAGUUUCAUAGAUUAUUUCAUGGUUAAGUACCUAACAGCAGCAUCUUAUAUAGUUAACCCCCGAGGAUCCACA